UCCGAGUUGUCCCCGGCAGUCCUUUUAGAGUCCCCGGCAUUACCCGCUGGCAACUAAAAGCAGGGGUUGCGCUCGUUGCGGCACUUAAGCCAACACCUCACGGCACGAGCUGACGACAGCCAUGCAGCACCUGUGCUAGCCCCUUGCGGACACGAGCUUUCACCCGCUUUAACUAGCAUGUCAAGCCUAGGUAAGGUGGGGAUGACGUAGGAGGAAUUCCA
rnacentral:misc_RNA from 1 species